CAUCCUCCAAGGCUAAAUACUCCUGACUGACCGAUAGUGAACCAGUACCGUGAGGGAAAGGCGAAAAGAACCCCGGCGAGGGGAGUGAAAAAGAACCUGAAACCGUGUACGUACAAGCAGUGGGAGCACCCUUCGGGGUGUGACUGCGUACCUUUUGUAUAAUGGGUCAGCGACUUAUAUUCUGUAGCAAGGUUAACCGUAUAGGGGAGCCGGAGGGAAACCGAGUCUUAACCGGGCGUUAAGUUGCAGGGUAUAGACCCGAAACC
rnacentral:rRNA from 2 species